GGAUCAAUUAAUUGGUCGUGCCUCGGUACGUACUGGUCAAAUUGAUUCCUACCUUCUGACGAACCACGAUGUCAUUAAUUUGGUGUCGCGGGAAAUCAGGACUGUUACUUUGAAAAAAUUAGAGUGUUUAAAGCAGGCUCGCGCUUGAAUACAUUAGCAUGGAAUAAUGAAAUAGGACGUUCGAUCCUAUUUUGUUGGUUUCUAGGAUUGACGUA
rnacentral:rRNA from 1 species